rnacentral:rRNA from 1 species
GACGAACGCUGGCGGCGUGCUUAACACAUGCAAGUCGAACGCUGAAGCUCAGCUUUUGUUGGGUGGAUGAGUGGCGAACGGGUGAGUAACACGUGAGUAACCUGCCUCCUUCUUUGGGAUAACGCCCGGAAACGGGUGCUAAUACUGGAUAUUCACUGGUCUUCGCAUGGGGGUUGGUGGAAAGGGUUUUUCUGGUGGGGGAUGGGCUCGCGGCCUAUCAGCUUGUUGGUGGGGUGAUGGCCUACCAAGGCUUUGACGGGUAGCCGGCCUGAGAGGGUGACCGGUCACAUAGGGACUGAGAUACGGCCCAGACUGCGACGGGAGGCAGAAGUGGGGAAGAUUGCGCAAUGGGCGCAAGCCUGAUGCAGCGACGCGGCGUGAGGGAUGGAGGCGUUCGGGUUGUGAACCUCUUUCGCUCAUGGUCAAGCCGCAACAAUGGUUGUGGUGAGGGUAGUGGGUAAAGAAGCGCCGGCUAACUACGUG